rnacentral:lncRNA from 1 species
GGCCCUGUCACUAAAUCCUGACUUGCCUACACUGGGACUGCAAGACAUGCCUCACCUCCAGGCGGGACCUGCAGCUCUGCCACAGUGACAGCUCAGGGCAGAUAAGAUCAGCCCCUCAGAGUUCCCAUCGUGGCGCAGCGGAGACAAAUCCGACUAGGAACCAUGAGGUGGCGGGUUCGAUCCCUGGCCUCGAGCUCAGUGGGUUAAGGAUCCUGAGUUGCCAUGAGCUGUGGUGUAGAUCGCAGAUGAGGCAAGCUAAGACACACAGCCACACCUGUGGCAUAUGGAGGGUCCCAGGCUAGGAGUCAUAUCAGAGCUGCAGCUGCCGGCCUACACCACAGCCACAACUCGGGAUCCAAGCUGCGUCUGUGACCUUCACCACAGCUCACUCAACACCGGAUACUUAACCCACUGAGAGACACCAGGGAUCGAACCCACAUCCUCAUGGAUACUAGUCAGGGUCCAGGAGCUAGAAGAGGACACAGUCCUGGCCACCUAGAGCUUGGGGACUGGUACGAUCGAAGGGACGUGAGACAAGGACCCCCAUUCAACCGACUGGCUCCAAGCUGAGCCUUGGAGAGGUGGCUGGGGACAGGAGGAAAAGACGGAGCCCCCCCACGCAUUGCCAGGAUUUCUCUUUCCGUAUCCCAGCCUCCCUGCUCCCUGGGGCACACAGGUGGAUGGCGGAGGCAGCCAGUGAAGGCACCAACCGAGGGGCAGAACCUCCACAUGCCAUGGGCGCAGGCCAAAAGGAGAGAGUGAUGGAGGGAGGAAGAAACGCUGGGAGACACAACCUCCAAGUCUCAAGCGGAAACGGGGAGAGAGGCGUCAUGGGAGGGAGCAGCUCUCGAAGUCCCAGCUGG